rnacentral:rRNA from 1 species
CCUACGGGAGGCUGCAGUGAGGAAUAUUGGUCAAUGGACGCAAGUCUGAACCAGCCAUGCCGCAUGCGGGAAGACGGCUCUGUGAGUUGUAAACUGCUUUUGUACGAGGAUAAACGCAGAUACGCGUAUCUGUCUGAGAGUAUCGUACGAAUAAGGAUCGGCUAACUCCGUGCCAGCAGCCGCGGUAAUACGGAGGAUUCGAGCGUUAUCCGGAUUUAUUGGGUUUAAAGGGUGCGUAGGCGGUCGGAUAAGUUAGAGGUGAAAUCCCGAGGCUCAACUUCGGAAUUGCCUCUGAUACUGGUCGGCGAGAGAGUAGUUGAGGUAGGCGGAAUGCAUGGUGUAGCGGUGAAAUGCUUAGAGAUCACACAGAACACCGAUUGCGAAGGCAGCUUACCAAGCUACUUCUGACGUUGAGGCACGAAAGCGUGGGGAGCAAACAGGAUUAGAUACCCCGGUAGUC